AAUGUGCAUCCCCUUCAUUUCUUUCUUGCUUUAUCUGUGCCUGAAAAUUAGAAGCAUUGUUUUUCUUUAGAUUCAUGUGGAUAUUUCAAUAGUUAAAGUCCUUCAUCUGCUUUAAAGUAUGCCUUUCCCCAUAGUAUCUUGUGCAACCGUCUUUCAGCACAUAGGUAUGCUAGAGCUUCUUCUAGGAUAUUAGAUUGCGAUCUGUUUGUGUUCUCUUUUGUCGCCCUAUUCGACUUCUAGGGUCUAUGAUAAAUCCUCUGUUUUAUUUGUAGAUUUCAAGGCAUACAUAAUUUAGCAAAUACUCAAGUUUGAAUUUUAUAUAUAUAAAUAUACCAGCCAUCAUCUUUUUAUGAGUUCACGGUGAUGCUUUUAUCUGGAUGUCAUACAAUUGCGGUGAAUAUUAUGUGAAUGGAUGAUACAGCACCGGCUGGUGAUGUCAAGGUAUAUGUGCUGAAGAGCCUUGUACCGGAGGAGCUGGCCAAGAGAUUCAUAGAAACCAAAGACAUCGCUGCUCCUAUGGGUUUUGCAGUUGUUGUGGUUGGUGUUCUUCAACUUGCCGGAGACAAAGUUCCAGAAGGUAACGUGUUGAUUACAAGAAAAUUAUCUCAGUUCAAUAAAUUAAAAAAUGGUUCCUAUAUGCAUUACAUCAGUCUUUCUGUCCUAUGAUGAUGUCAUCUGCAGUUGCAACAUUUUAUUAGAACCUCCAAAAAUACACUUAAAUAUAUGUUCCCACCCGAAUUGAUAUUACAUUUAUAUUGUAUGGUUUAUCGACCUUAGCUAGGGCUCAAGCGAGAUCUGGGAUGAUUGCUGAAGUGUGUCAUGAAACAUAGCCGUGGUGAGUCUGCCCAUUAAUUGAAUUGAAGGGGCGCUCUUUGGUACGGGCAGGUACACUGUGGACACAAUUAAAACGA
rnacentral:lncRNA from 1 species